GACGAACGCUGGCGGCGUGCUUAACACAUGCAAGUCGAACGGAAAGGCCCUGCUUUUGUGGGGUGCUCGAGUGGCGAACGGGUGAGUAACACGUGAGUAACCUGCCCUUGACUUUGGGAUAACUUCAGGAAACUGGGGCUAAUACCGGAUAGGAGCUCCUGCUGCAUGGUGGGGGUUGGAAAGUUUCGGCGGUUGGGGAUGGACUCGCGGCUUAUCAGCUUGUUGGUGGGGUAGUGGCUUACCAAGGCUUUGACGGGUAGCCGGCCUGAGAGGGUGGCCAGCCACAUUGGGACUAAGAUACGGACCAGACUCCUACGGGAGGCAGCAGUGGGGAAUAUUGCACAAUGGGCGGGAGCCUGAUGCGGCAACGCCGCGUGCGGGAUGACGGCCUUCGGGUUGUGAACCGCUUUCGCCUGUAACGAAGCGGGAGUGACGGUAAUGGGUAAAGAAGCACCGGCUAACUACGUG
rnacentral:rRNA from 1 species